ACUGCUCAGAUGUGCUAACCUCUCCGUGGUGAGCAGCAGGCAACGGAUAAUUAUCCGGCUAACGGCACAU
rnacentral:ribozyme from 1 species